GAUGAACGCUGGCGGCGUGCUUAGCACAUGCAAGUCGAACGAUGAAGCCCAGCUUGCUGGGUGGAUUAGUGGCGAACGGGUGAGUAACACGUGAGUAACCUGUCCUUAACUCUGGGAUAAGCCUGGGAAACUGGGUCUAAUACCGGAUAGGAGCGCCUACCGCAUGGUGGGUGUUGGAAAGAUUUAUCGGUUUUGGAUGGACUCGCGGCCUAUCAGCUUGUUGGUGAGGUAAUGGCUCACCAAGGCGACGACGGGUAGCCGGCCUGAGAGGGUGACCGGCCACACUGGGACUGAGACACGGCCCAGACUCCUACGGGAGGCAGCAGUGGGGAAUAUUGCACAAUGGGCGAAAGCCUGAUGCAGCGACGCCGCGUGAGGGAUGACGGCCUUCGGGUUGUAAACCUCUUUCAGUAGGGAAGAAGCGAAAGUGACGGUACCUGCAGAAGAAGCACCGGCUAACUACGUG
rnacentral:rRNA from 1 species